GACGAACGCUGGCGGCGUGCCUAAUACAUGCAAGUCGAGCGGACCGGAUUGGGGCUUGCCUUGAUUCGGUCAGCGGCGGACGGGUGAGUAACACGUGGGCAACCUGCCCGCAAGACCGGGAUAACUCCGGGAAACCGGAGCUAAUACCGGAUAACACCGAAGACCGCAUGGUCUUCGGUUGAAAGGCGGCCUUUGGGCUGUCACUUGCGGAUGGGCCCGCGGCGCAUUAGCUAGUUGGUGAGGUAGCGGCUCACCAAGGCGACGAUGCGUAGCCGGCCUGAGAGGGUGACCGGCCACACUGGGACUGAGACACGGCCCAGACUCCUACGGGAGGCAGCAGUAGGGAAUCUUCCGCAAUGGGCGAAAGCCUGACGGAGCGACGCCGCGUGAGCGAAGAAGGCCUUCGGGUCGUAAAGCUCUGUUGUGAGGGACGAAGGAGCGUCGUUCGAAGAGGGCGGCGCGGUGACGGUACCUCACGAGAAAGCCCCGGCUAACUACGUG
rnacentral:rRNA from 1 species